rnacentral:rRNA from 1 species
UACGAAGGGGGCUAGCGUUGCUCGGAAUCACUGGGCGUAAAGGGUGCGUAGGCGGAUUAGUAAGUCAGUGGUGAAAGCCUGCAGCUCAACUGUAGAACUGCCAUUGAUACUGCUAGUCUUGAAUAUAGUUGAGGUAGGCGGAAUAUGACAUGUAGCGGUGAAAUGCUUAGAUAUGUCAUAGAACACCGAUUGCGAAGGCAGCUUGCUAAACUAUUAUUGACGCUGAGGCACGAAAGCGUGGGUAGCAAACAGG